rnacentral:lncRNA from 1 species
ACCGCUACGAUUACAGUGUUUACACAAACUCGCCCCAUCAUCACCACGAAGAGCAGAGGAGUGACGAGCUUUUUGAUGAACAGCAUAGGCUGUGACAUCAGAUACAUCAUCACUUUUGCGAGAAUUGUGUCGCAAAUCUUCUUCUUGACGGACGACAUUGUACACUUCCUCCAUUGGCUGAAGCGGUGUGCGUGAAACGAAACUCGAUCGCACCG